AGCAGAGAGGUGACGGUGGAUGCGAGCGGAGCAGAGGAAAAGAGAAGAUGAAACGUGUGUGAUGAUGCAGCGCUGCAACGAUGGAAAACACUCGACAAUGAAGGUCUCUAAAGGUCUUUACAGUCCUUCAACAUCCUUUUAUGUUGCUGCUGAGACAAGCUGCAGAUGCUGAACCGACAGGGAGACAGACCGGGGCCCGGGGACCCUGCAGCCGGCCAGGGGGACGCGGUGAGAGCGGCUGCCCGGAC